rnacentral:tRNA from 1 species
GUCCAGGGAUGGGAAUCGAACCCACACUGUUCCACUUACCGGGCAGAUGCCAUGUCCACUAGGCUACCCUGGA